AGAGUUUGAUCCUGGCUCAGGAUGAACGCUAGCUACAGGCUUAACACAUGCAAGUCGAGGGGCAGCAUUUUAGUUUGCUUGCAAACUAAAGAUGGCGACCGGCGCACGGGUGAGUAACACGUAUCCAACCUACCGAUAACUCUGGAAUAGCCUUUCGAAAGAAAGAUUAAUACCGGAUAGUAUACGAAUAUCGCAUGAUAUUUUUAUUAAAGAAUUUCGGUUAUCGAUGGGGAUGCGUUCCAUUAGUUUGUUGGCGGGGUAACGGCCACCAAGACUACGAUGGAUAGGGGUUCUGAGAGGAAGGUCCCCCACAUUGGAACUGAGACACGGUCCAAACUUCUACGGGAGGCA
rnacentral:rRNA from 1 species